UGAGCAAUCUGCCCUUCUCUUCGGAAUAAGCGUUGGAAACGACGUCUAAUGCCGAAUACGACCUCCUUUCGCAUGAUCGGAGGUGGAAAGCUCCGGCGGAGAAGGAUGAGCUCGCGGCCUAUCAGCUAGUUGGUGUGGGUAAUGGCCCACCAAGGCGACGACGGGUAGCCGGCCUGAGAGGGCGAUCGGCCACACUGGGACUGAGACACGGCCCAGACUCCUACGGGAGCAG
rnacentral:rRNA from 1 species